rnacentral:rRNA from 1 species
UCAUGGCUCAGGAUGAACGCUAGCGGGAGGCUUAAUACAUGCAAGUCGAGGGGUAACAUGGAACUUCGGUUUUGAUGACGACCGGCGCACGGGUGAGUAACGCGUACAUAACCUACCUAUUACAGAAGGACAGCCCUGGGAAACUGGGAUUAAUACUUCAUGGUCUUUUUUCACUGCAUGGUGAAAUUAGUAAAGUUUCGGCGGUAAUAGAUGGAUGUGCGUACUAUUAGGUAGUUGGUAAGGUAACGGCUUACCAAGCCUACGAUAGUUAGGGGGCGUGAGAGCGUGAUCCCCCACACGGGUACUGAGACACGGACCCGACUCCUACGGGAGGCAGCAGUAAGGAAUAUUGGUCAAUGGGGGCAACCCUGAACCAGCCAUCCCGCGUGCAGGAUGAAUGCCCUAUGGGUUGUAAACUGCUUUUAUAUAAGAAGAACCGUACUCAUUAAUGAGUGCCUGACGGUACUAUAUGAAUAAGCACCGGCUAAUUCCGUGCCAGCAGCCGCGGUAAUACGGAAGGUGCAAGCGUUAUCCGGAAUCACUGGGUUUAAAGGGUGCGUAGGCGGGCUAAUCAGUCAGAAGUGAAAGCUCAUCGCUUAACGAUGGAACUGCUUUGAUACUGUUAGUCUUGAAUUAGGUUGAGGUUAGCGGAAUGAGUCAUGUAGCGGUGAAAUGCAUAGAUAUGACUUAGAACACCAUUGCGAAGGCAGCUGGCUAGACCUAUAUUGACGCUGAGGCACGAAAGCUUGGGAGCAACAGGAUUAGAUACCCUGGUAGUUCACGCCCUAAACGAUGCUUACUCGCUGUUUGGAUUUAUUCUGAGCGGCUAGGGAAACCAUUAAGUAAGCCACCUGGGAGUACGUUCGCAAGAAUGAAACUCAAAGGAAUUGACGGGGUCCGCACAAGCGGUGGAGCAUGUGGUUUAAUUCGAUGAUACGCGAGGAACCUUACCUGGGCUCGAACGCUAUUUGACAGCCUGUGAAAGCAGGUUUUUCUUCGGAACGGAUAGUGAGGUGCUGCAUGGUUGUCGUCGUAAGCUCGUGCCGUGAGGUGUUGGGUUAAGUCCCGCAACGAGCGCAACCCCUAAUUUCAGUUGCCAGCACAUAAUGGUGGGGACUCUGGAAUGACUGCCGGCGUAAGCCGCGAGGAAGGUGGGGACGACGUCAAAUCAUCAUGGCCUUUAUGCCCAGGGCUACACACGUGCUACAAUGGUGCAUACAGAGGGCAGCGAAGCCGCGAGGUGGAGCCAAUCCCAGAAAGUGCAUCCCAGUUCGGAUUGGAGUCUGCAACCCGACUCCAUGAAGGUGGAAUCGCUAGUAAUCGCGCAUCAGCCAUGGCGCGGUGAAUACGUUCCCGGACCUUGUACACACCGCCCGUCAAGCCAUGGGAGCUGGGGGUACCUGAAGAUGGUGACUUUACGGGGAGCUAUCUAGGGUAAAACUGGUAACUGGGGCUAAGUCGUAACAAGGCAGCCGUACCGGAAGGUGCGGCUGGAUCACCUCCUU